rnacentral:rRNA from 1 species
UACGGGGGGAGCAAGCGUUGUUCGGAUUUACUGGGCGUAAAGGGCGCGUAGGCGGCCAGCACAAGUCAGUUGUGAAAUCUCCGAGCUUAACUCGGAAAGGUCAACUGAUACUGUGCGGCUAGAGUGCGGAAGGGGCAACUGGAAUUCUUGGUGUAGAGGUGAAAUGCGUAGAUAUCAAGAGGAACACCUGCGGCGAAGGCGGGUUGCUGGGCCGACACUGACGCUGAGGCGCGAAAGCCAGGGGAGCGAACGGG